UAAGGUUCACCUUGCUCAGAGGUAUUGAGUGGUUGCAGCCUCAACGGGAAGCAAUAAGUUCAGUUCAAAAUUCUUCAUCAAGCAAACUUACUCAGCCAAGACUCGUGGUAUCUGCCAUGCAGCUGCAUCCCGUCCAGGGGAAUCUCAUACAGCCCAUUCAGACUAAAGGGUGAUGGAAAGAAGCAGAGGAAAGCAGAAACAGCAAGAGUGACUGAGACCUGCUGUCAUCUAUAUAGAAGCCUUUCUGAUACAUGUCAGAGAGUGACAUGAAGUCUCCCCUCUUUAUACACACGUAUGAAAAUACAUCUAUCCCUCAUUUUGAGAGCCUCCAACUGAUCCAAGUGUCAUCCGGAGGAGGAGGUGGCCCGUAUGUGCAGGACCUCAGGGUGCCAGCCCUCACCCAUACACCUCCAGGGCUGCAGGUCAUUAGCCAGAAUAAAGGAUGUCCACAUUC
rnacentral:lncRNA from 1 species